GACGUAGGGUGCGAGCGUUGUCCGGAUUUAUUGGGCGUAAAGAGCUCGUAGGCGGCUCGUCGCGUCGACCGUGAAAACCCGCGGCUUAACUGCGGGCUUGCGGUUGAUACGGGCGGGCUAGAGUUCGGUAGGGGAGACUGGAAUUCCUGGUGUAGCGGUGAAAUGUACAGAUAUCAGGAGGAACACCGGUGGCGAAGGCGGGUCUCUGGGCCGAUACUGACGCUGAGGAGCGAAAGCGUGGGGAGCGAACAGG
rnacentral:rRNA from 1 species